rnacentral:rRNA from 1 species
UGAGUGCGAGCGGCUACGGCCGCGAAGUGGGUGAUGUCAAGCUUCCAAGAAAAGCCCUAUACCCGUUAAGGCAUGAUGGCCUGUACCCGAAACCGACACAGGUGGGGUGGUAGAGAAUACCGAGGGGCGCGAGGUAACUCUCUCUAAGGAACUCGGCAAAAUGGCCCCGUAACUUCGGGAGAAGGGGUGCCACCGCAAGGUGGUCGCAGUGAAGAGGCCCAGGCGACUGUUUACCAAAAACACAGGUCUCCGCUAAGUCGCAAGACGAUGUAUGGGGGCUGACGCCUGCCCAGUGCCGGAAGGUUAAGGAAGCUGGUCAGCGCAAGCGAGGCUGGCGACUGAAGCCCCGGUGAACGGCGGCCGUAACUAUAACGGUCCUAAGGUAGCGAAAUUCCUUGUCGGGUAAGUUCCGACCCGCACGAAAGGCGUAACGAUCUGGGCGCUGUCUCGGAGAGAGGCUCGGCGAAAUAGAAUUGUCUGUGAAGAUGCGGACUACGUGCACCCGGACAGAAAGACCCUAUGAAGCUUUACUGUAGCUUGGUAUUGUGCCCGGGCUCUGAAUGCGCAGGAUAGGUGGGAGGCUUUGAUCCAUGGCUUGCGGGUCAUGGUGAGCCAACGGUGAGAUACCACUCUUUCAGAGCUAGGGUUCUAACGGUCACCCGUCAUCCGGGGACCGGACAGUAUCAGGUGGGCAGUUUGACUGGGGCGGUCGCCUCCUAAAAGGUAACGGAGGCGCGCAAAGGUUUGCUCAGGCUGGUUGGAAAUCAGCCGACGAGUGCAAAAGCAGAAGCAAGCUUGACUGUGAGACCUACAAGUCGAACAGGGACGAAAGUCGGCUUUAGUGAUCCGACGGUUCUGAGUGGAAGGGCCGUCGCUCAACGGAUAAAAGUUACUCUAAGGAUAACAGGCUGAUCUCCCCCAAGAGUUCACAUCGACGGGGAGGUUUGGCACCUCGAUGUCGGCUCAUCGCAACCUGGGGCUGAAGUCGGUCCCAAGGGUUGGGCUGUUCGCCCAUUAAAGCGGUACGCGAGCUGGGUUCAGAACGUCGUGAGACAGUUCGGUCCAUAUCCGGUGCACGCGCAGGAACAUUGAGAGGAUUUCUCCCUAGUACGAGAGGACCGGGAGGAACGCACCUCUGGUGUGCCAGUUAUCGUGCCAACGGUAAACGCUGGGUAGCCAUGUGCGGAGUGGAUAACCGCUGAAAGCAUCUAAGUGGGAAGCCCACCUCAAGAUGAGUGUUCCCAUGGCAUAAGCCAGUAAGGUCACGGGAAGAACACCCGUUGAUAGGCUCUACGUGGAAGCCGGGUAACCGGUGAAGCGGAGGAGUACUAAUAGACCGAGGGCUUGACC